GUUUAUGAAUGGCCGCAGUAAUUUGACUGUGCAAAGGUAGCAUAAUUAAUUGUCCUAUAAUUGAGGACUUGUUUGAAUGGUUUGACGAGAUAAUUUUCUUAUAUUCGCUAUAUUGUUGAAAUUAAUGUUGUGAGUGCAGAAUCUCCGAAUUCUUAAUAAGACGGAAAGACCCCGGGAGCUUUAGUGUUUGCUUGGGGCAAGAUUUUAUAUUUUAUAAAUGUUUAGACCCUAUAAAUUUGGGUUAGCGGGUUAAGUUGCCCCGGGGAUAACAGGGUAAUAAUUAAUAAGAGAUCGUAUCGAAUUAAUUGUUUGCCACCUCGAUGUUGACUUGGGUUAAUAUUAUGGCGCAGUAGUUUAUAUAUUAGGUCUGUUCGACCGUAGUAACCUUCAUGAGUUGAGUUUAGACCGGUGUAAGCCAGGUCGGAUCUUAUCUAUUGUUUGAGCUUAUUAGUACGAAAG
rnacentral:rRNA from 1 species